CAGUUCGGAUUGUAGGCUGAAACUCGCCUACAUGAAGCUGGAGUUACUAGUAAUCGCAGAUCAGAAUGCUGCGGUGAAUGCGUUUCCGGGUCUUGUACACACCGCCCGUCACACCACGGAAGUUGGGGGCGCCCGAAGCCACUUAGCUAACCCUUUUGGGAAGCGAGUGUCGAAGGUGAAAUCAAUAACUGGGGUGAAGUCGUAACAAGGUAAC
rnacentral:rRNA from 1 species